rnacentral:lncRNA from 1 species
CUGGGUCCAGAGCCCCAUGAUCCUUGACAGUCUAACAAGCAGGAUUGACUCAAUUAUUUCAUGCCCAGGACCUUCAUCUAACAAAGAAAUGUACUAGAUGGGAAGGAGAGGAAAGAAAGAAGAGAUGGAAUAAGGGAGAGACAGAGUUAUUAAAGCAAAACCUUCUUAUAUCAGGAUAUUUUAUUACCCUGAAGAUACCCAUAGUAGUGCACCAAUAGAAUAUUGAUAGCUAUGUAUAUAUACACUCACACAUAUAUGAGUGUGUAAAUAUAUGUAGGUGUGUGUAGAUAUAUGAAUAUAUAGGUAAUGUAUUCUAAUGCAUAAAAUCUGUAAAGACUCCAUUGAACAUGCGUGUAAGUCAUGUUAAAACGGAAAUGCUAAAGGCCUUUGAAAAGCUACUUUCUACAUUUCAGGCCAAGUUGCCCAUCUCAGCCAGUAGAACAGGAAUAGGAGACGCCGGGCAACUGAAUUUAUCAGUGGCAUUCAGAGACCACUGGCGGAUCUGGGGAGUUCUGAUUUCUUGCCUGGGGAAGGUGGCCUGGCUGAGCAGGAGAUGGAGGGGAUUUCCCCAGCUGAACUGGAGCAGGUCUGGGUUGAUCCAGAGACAGGGCAUCAGGGUCUCCUGCGAUGCCCAGUUCAGGAGCAGCCACACUAAGCAACAGCUUCUCAUGUGAGAGGCAGAGCUCCAGGACUCUGCUGCGACGGCCGCGGCUUCUUGCCUCUGGAAAAUGACGGAACUUGAACUCGAUGACUUCCUAAGGUCCUUCCUGCCCAACAGUCAUACAAGCUGUGGCCUGGCAUCCCUGGAGGGAGGGAGGUACAGUGUGCCAGGUGCUAACAGCCACAACUUGAUUUCAUCCAAUCCUCAUUUCAUCAGGUAGCUAUUAAUAUCCCCAUUUCAUGGAUGAGAAAACUGAGGUUUAGAGAAG